ACGAGGCACUACGGUGCUGAAGCAACAAAUGCCCUGCUUCCAGGAAAAGCCUCUAAGCAUCAGGUAACAUCAAAUCGUACCCCAAACCGACACAGGUGGUCAGGUAGAGAAUACCAAGGCGCUUGAGAGAACUCGGGUGAAGGAACUAGGCAAAAUGGUGCCGUAACUUCGGGAGAAGGCACGCUGACACGUAGGUGAAGUGAUUUACUCACGGAGCUGAAGUCAGUCGAAGAUACCAGCUGGCUGCAACUGUUUAUUAAAAACACAGCACUGUGCAAACACGAAAGUGGACGUAUACGGUGUGACGCCUGCCCGGUGCCGGAAGGUUAAUUGAUGGGGUCAGCGCAAGCGAAGCUCCUGAUCGAAGCCCCGGUAAACGGCGGCCGUAACUAUAACGGUCCUAAGGUAGCGAAAUUCCUUGUCGGGUAAGUUCCGACCUGCACGAAUGGCGUAAUGAUGGCCAGGCUGUCUCCACCCGAGACUCAGUGAAAUUGAACUCGCUGUGAAGAUGCAGUGUACCCGCGGCAAGACGGAAAGACCCCGUGAACCUUUACUAUAGCUUGACACUGAACAUUGAGCCUUGAUGUGUAGGAUAGGUGGGAGGCUUUGAAGUGUGGACGCCAGUCUGCAUGGAGCCGGCCUUGAAAUACCACCCUUUAAUGUUUGAUGUUCUAACGUGGACCCGUGAUCCGGGUUGCGGACAGUGUCUGGUGGGUAGUUUGACUGGGGCGGUCUCCUCCUAAAGAGUAACGGAGGAGCACGAAGGUUGGCUAAUCCUGGUCGGACAUCAGGAGGUUAGUGCAAUGGCAUAAGCCAGCUUGACUGCGAGCGUGACGGCGCGAGCAGGUGCGAAAGCAGGUCAUAGUGAUCCGGUGGUUCUGAAUGGAAGGGCCAUCGCUCAACGGAUAAAAGGUACUCCGGGGAUAACAGGCUGAUACCGCCCAAGAGUUCAUAUCGACGGCGGUGUUUGGCACCUCGAUGUCGGCUCAUCACAUCCUGGGGCUGAAGUAGGUCCCAAGGGUAUGGCUGUUCGCCAUUUAAAGUGGUACGCGAGCUGGGUUUAGAACGUCGUGAGACAGUUCGGUCCCUAUCUGCCGUGGGCGCUGGAGAACUGAGGGGGGCUGCUCCUAGUACGAGAGGACCGGAGUGGACGCAUCACUGGUGUUCGGGUUGUCAUGCCAAUGGCACUGCCCGGUAGCUAAAUGCGGAAGAGAUAAGUGCUGAAAGCAUCUAAGCACGAAACUUGCCCCGAGAUGAGUUCUCCCUGAGACUUUAGGUCUCCUGAAGGAACGUUGAAGACGACGACGUUGAUAGGCCGGGUGUGUAAGCGCAGCGAUGCGUUGAGCUAACCGGUACUAAUGAACCGUGAGGCUUAACCUU
rnacentral:rRNA from 1 species